CUUCGUGCGAGCCCCGUUCGUCCUCCCCACUGCCCAACGUCACUAUCGCUGCUGCCUCCGUGCCUAGGGGGGUCUUCCUCCAGUUGGGACCCGCCCCCUGGGCAGCCCAGGGGUCUGCCCGCAGCAGCCCCUGGGCUGGAGGCCCCCGGGCUGCAGAAUGACGUCCAUGUCUUGCUCCAGCUCAUCCCGUCCUCCCAUGACACAGGGAAGAAAAAUGGCUGCAGUGGAGCCAGUUCAGGGGCCGGUGACCUUCGAGGAGGUGGCUAUGUAUUUCACCAGGG